rnacentral:lncRNA from 1 species
UUCAGGUAAAUAGCCCCUGGGUACUUCAGUGAAUUUGCAUCGUGUGGACUAAAAGGAGUUCCCGGCACAUUAAAUAUAAUACGGAUAUAGCAAUUUCUGUUGGUGUCUUGCUGGCUGGAAACUGUCCUGAUUGUAGCAACAUGGAAAGGUACCAUACUCCCAUAAAUAGGCAGAAGCACAGCCUCAUUCUUCUGGUCUAUCUGAAUCAUUAGAUCUCUUGCAGGAGGAAUAUCAUUGACAUUCUUGUAUGCUAUCAAAUCAGUUGAAGUCUUUGCAGCUCCACGGUUGUCUCCUGUUGCUCUUUCUUCACCAGUAAGUCGCCUUGCAGUUUCUUCAUUCUUUUGACGGGCAAGCUCCGCCUGGUGCUGCCUGCGAAUCUCCUCCUUUGAGAUCUCCCCUGAAUCAGACCUUAGUGUUGUCUUGGACAUGAAGGCCUUUGUGCCAUUAGCCCCAGGUUUAGGUUCUGGUUUUACUUCAUCCUCUUCAGUGAAAGAGUAAGCCACAUCUUUAACAGCUUUUGAGCUCUUACAAGUUGCCACUUCUGGAUUUGUUUGGCCUACAAUAACAGUAUCAGCAACUAAUAGAGAAUAAUUCCGGAUCUUUGGGUUAUUUGUUUGGUUCUGUAAGUUCUGAAAACCGAGUGACAAAUUAAAAAUCAUAUUUGGCCUCAACGAUCGAUCAUUCUUGGCAUUAAGAUUCAGGCCAGACUCACGGAACUCAAGCCCAAUCCCUGUACCUACUGAUUUUGUCAGAUAGGGAACUAAUUCAGGAGCCUCUUUCUCAACCACUGACACAGCUGCUUGAUACACAGCACUGAUCUUGUUCCCAGGCUUUAAUGCACCAAUUGCUGCUUCAUGGGCUUUGAGCAGAACCUCAUAAGCCUUUCUCUGCAUUGGAUUGGCAUCAAUCAAGAAUGUCCUGGCAAGGUUUGAACAGUAAUUGUUAUAUCGGGCUCCAAUUGCAACUAUGAUGACACUGGCAGGAUCAUAGUAGAGAUACUCAUCAUUGCUGGCAGCACUGGGUCUGAGAUCAAAUUCUCCUCCACUUUGAAAUAUGGGAGGGUAACAUAUAUCACAAUUUUCUGCUUUUAACUUCGCCCUAGCUUUGGCAGGAUCCAUUAUGGCCUUCUCUGCGUCAUCCAUCAAAGCAGAAUGGGUAACUUUCUUCUCCUCAUCAAUAGCAUUCUCAAGAGUGGGAAUGACAACAUUGCUCAUCACACUAACACUCAAAUAAGCAGCUUUCUUUACAUUCAAAAUCUCUUCAGCAUCCUUGAAAGCAAGCAGGUCAGAAAACCCAUUAGUUACAUCGGCAAUCUGCUGGAAACCUGCAGUCUUCAGUUUUUCAGCCCAAGUCUCCAAAAGAGUACCUUCUGGAACCUCCUUGGCUAUGUAUCCAACAACACUAGCAUUUGGCUGCGCUCGAAUAGCACGAAAUAUAGCUUCCAUUAAUGUUGUCCCAUCAUCCCCCUUUGCCUUGACAUGAAUAACAACAUCUAUACCUCCCGCAACAUCAUGAGCAGGUGUUCUCAAAACCUCAAGCAAAGCAGCCUUCUUUUGACUACACAAGAAAUGAAUCUGCUUCUUGGUAAAUACCAUUAUAGUGUCCGGGAACUCAUAACCUAGUAACCAAAGAUUCAUGGCGGAUGAUUUCAGGUACCGCAAAUCAUCCGAAGGUGGCGGCGUAGCUAUUGCAAGCGCAUCAGCAGACCCCCAUAGUUCAUCCUUGUGUUUAUUCCAAUGCGAAUACAGUGUCUUAAGUCGUAGUUUGAACUUAUCGGUGUUAAUCUUAUAUGCAUUUUGGCCCCCGCUAGGGUUCCGCUGGUCAGCCAUAUGGGUUCCUCAGCCCUGACAAGCCAAUUUUCAAUCCAGAAAGAAAAAAAGUAAAAGAAAAAUUCGACACCAGUUGUGGUUUAAAACACCUAGUUCUGGCGGCGCCGCACCAUAAUCAGUACGAAAAAGAGAAAAUACUAGGUUUAGGGUUAUGGAACAAGCCAAAACACAAUUGACUCUGGAAUAGAGAAAACGAACAAAAACACAGAAAUAAAAGAAGGAUAAUUCAGGGAAAAAAGAGACCAAGUUUCUCGAAGAUCCAGUAGAAGAAAGAAACUUACCGGAAUCGAAGAACAAGCUUCAAAAAAUGAAAAGGGAGAACUCGAGAGAAGAGAGUGAGUGAAAUUUUUGUUUCCUUUAAUGUUUUGGACUUCCGAACUCAAUAAGAAGUUCUUGCGUAAAUUAGUACUUUUUAUCAAAUUAAUUAAUUAGUUCCCACUUUUUUUUCAAAGUUAAAAUUCAAUUCAUUAUAAAUGAGGCGCACAGUUACAGAUGCAGAGCCCACACACAAAUUGAAAAUAAUCUAAGGCCCAGUAAAAAUAAAAACUAAAUUGUAACCCAUAGCAGAAAAACUCUAAACCCUACAUGUAGAUACGAUCCAGUGCAUCAUAAUUUUCACAGCCUCUCAAUUGAGCUGCUGGUCACCUAAGAAAGAAAAUCACCACCAGGCUUGAUCUGAUCUCCCAAAUAGUAACCUUACAGCCUUAGCAACCCACGCUAAAGCUCAAGAUAAGAUGAAGGCAAGCAGCAAUCCAAGAGAGAGAGGAGACACAAAAGCUCCAUAUACACACAUGCAACCACACUGUUUAUUGACGGGAAAUCUUUUUUAAUAAAAUAAUUUAAUAUUAUUUUUAAUUUUAAUUUAGAAAAUAAAAUAUUAAUAAAUUUAUAUAUGUAAGUGUUGAUAAAAAUUUUAAAAAGUAAAAAAUGACUUAUUUUUAAAAUUUUUUUUACUAUUCUAAAUAUAAAAAAUUAUUAAAAAAAAAUAUUAUUAUAAAAAAUAGUUUUCGUAAAAUAAAUGGCACCUAAAAGUUGUAACCUUUUUCUUUUUCCACUCAUGGUAGUUGAAAUGCUCUCUUUGGUUGGGCUUUGAGUUUGAAUCUUAUUAUUUUGUGGGCGUAGUUAGAGCUUUGCUCUUAUUGGAUUUGCGCGUGUGCCCCUUUAUGAUGGGUCUUACACCAAUUAUGCUUUAAUAAAUCCUAUUUUCAUUUUUGUAAAACAUAUUAUUAGCAUUGAUUUACUCAUUUUUCAAAUUGUGAGAAAUAUCAAUAAAUCUAAAUUUUAUAAUAUCAAAGUUAUUUCGUUUCAAGUUAAAAAAAAUUAGAAACAUCAACUUCUUGUACAUUACAUUCUUCUAUUACAAAGAAAGGGGAAAAUCCAUUAAAAAUCAUUAAUUAGAAACUAUUCUAGGCCAAGCCACGCCUUAAGCAUUCUCUUGAAGUAGAGAAAUAACUGCAGAUAGGAGGAAACUAUAAAACAUCCAAAUUUGAACUGCUAGACCAUUGAAUCAUAACGAAGAACAAUAUUUCAGAUGUACAACUUUAAUCCAUUAAAACUAAUAUCGGCAACUUACGACCAGAAAUCUAUCUUCCAAGCCUCCUACUUGACAUUCAAAAGACAACUGAUUAAAUAAGAACCAUAAGAAUUACCACUAGCUGAUGGCUUCAAUGCAAGCCACGUCAGGAAACUGAAUUUCUAAAGCAAAAUUGCCUGCAGCUGCUACAUAGUACAAAGAAAAGGGGUAAAAAACAUUCUUCACAUCUAUCUGAAUCUGGAACGCUUGGCCAAGCUGCUACUAGGAGGGGCUCGAGACUUCCCAAGUUUCUUCAUUUUCCUUCUAUUCCUCUCCACCUCACUGUCUGACUCAUCCCCUUUCUCCCUGUCCGCAUUGCUUGCUUCCCUCUCUAACUCUUCCCAUGUCUUGCCCUUUUCUUCCUCAGAAUCGUCAUCUGAAUCAUCAUCCUCCUCAUCAUCAUCAGAUUCCACCAAUGACUCACUAUCAGAGUCAUCAUCUUCUGACUCAGACUCAGGUUCGGCGUCUGAUGGCUCAUAACCCUUGUCUGAAUCCUCGGAAUUCUCAGAGUCUGAAUCACUUGCUUCCAGAUUCAAAAAUUCCCAACCCCCUUCAUCUAUGAAACUCUGAGGGUCAUCAGUAAUUGUCUUCAGUAUCUGCCGCCAGUUCAAAUUCAACUUGCUCUCGUAAUACUUGAUGUCUGUAGUGUCGAGCCAUUCCUUUAUACCAUCCAGUGAUGUCGAUGGAAUAGAAUCAAUCCUAAGGACAUCUCGCUUGAAAUCCUUAAACACAAUGGUCAUAUCAAAAUUUUUCUGUCCAAGACCAACUCUCUCCAAGUUCACAAUCUCAAUCUCACUUAGGGUGACAACAAGGAAAGGAGUCUCAAUUAGCUCGACCAAGCAGCUUGAAGUUGGGAUGAUGAAAGAUGAGGUUUUGUAGGGCACCCCAUGGAAGCCAAGCUCUCUCAAAGGCUGAUCAAACUCAAGGUCGAGUCCACUAAACUGCGGUUGGCUCCAGAGAUCGUUCACCCGAUUUACAAAGCUCUGAAAAUCCAUAUUGAUCUUAUUCUUCCUGUCUCUUUCCCUUUGCUCUUCUUCAAUUUCAUCAGGGUCAUAUGCAGACCUCUUUCCGCCUCCCAAAGUCUGGACCGACUCCAUCACUUCUACAUAAAACUGCACAUCCUUGGUUUUCUUGUUCCCUACCAUGAUAUGAUUGUGAAGGUGAAAGUGGAGAAGAGUGAUCAUUUCCCUCUCUGCAGGCUGGAAAAAAGUAUGUUUGAUGUUUGCAAACAUAACAUCCACGCGCUCAUCAUUUCUACUGGUUGAAAAUCUAAAUCCAUUUACAUGAGCUUCCAGAGCACCAGGUAGUUUUCUUCCCCGGCCACCAAAUGCCGGACGGAUCCAAAGGUCUGCCAACCUUAUUGGCUUGAAUCUACUCCCCGCAAGCUGAAGUUUCUCCUGAGUAACCAAGGUUGCCCUCUCAGCCCUCUCAGACUCCCUAGCCACAACAUGCCGUCUAAGUGUCUUAAUCUGCUGUACCACUUCGCUGAUGUGCCUAGGGUCCUUCGACCGAAAUGAAACCUCCUUAAGGUAAAUAGCCCCUGGAUACUUCAGUGAAUUAGCAUCAUGUGGACUAAAAGGAGUUCCCGGCACAUUAAAUAUAAUACGGAUAUAGCAAUUUCUGUUGGUGUCUUGCUGGCUGGAAACUGUCCUGAUUGUAGCAACAUGGAAAGGUACCAUACUCCCAUAAAUAGGAAGAAGCACAGCCUCAUUCUUCUGGUCUAUCUGAAUCAUUAGGCCUCUUGCAGGAGGAAUAUCAUUGACAUUCUUGUAUGCUAUCAAAUCAGUUGAAGUCUUAGCAGUUCCACGGUUGUCUCCUGUUGCUCUUUCUUCACCAGUAAGUCGCCUUGCAGUUUCUUCAUUCUUUUGACGGGCAAGCUCCGCCUGGUGCUGCCUGCGAAUCUCCUCCUUUGAGACCUCCCCUGAAUCAGACCUUAGUGUUGUCUUGGACAUGAAGGCCUUUGUGCCAUUAACCCCAG